ACGAAGUCAUAGCACGUUACAAGGCAGUAAAAUCAGCAGUGAGCAGUGAAAUAUUUGCAGUGGUAAAAGUUAUUAAUUCCCAAAGAUUUUAAUUAACAAUCCACAGUGUUAAACAGUACUCGUGUUCAGUGUUGUUAUAUGGUGUUCACUUUUACACUAAAAAGGCGAAAUAAAAAGACCCGCCGAGUUGUCUGGACUCCGCCCUUCAGUGACUGCUGCCUCGCGAAGCGACAACGCCAUCUUUUCUUCGAGCGACCGAGACGUUGGUCGUCCUCUCGCCUCUGUUCCCUCCUCGGCCUGGGGUUACUGCGAGUCUGGCGCUGAAGACUGAAGCUGCUAACGUUAUAUUCGAAGCCAAGUUUCUGGCUUCUCCCAAGACCUUCAAGGAUCCAAUUGACCUCUGAAUCAGCUGUUAAGAAAAUGGGACAGCUGUAUUGCAUCAAUUGGUCUCCUACUUCAUUUGAUUCCACCAUCAUUACAAGGCUGCAAAGGAUCUGGAAAAAUGUCAUCCUGUCAAGCUGAAAAACAUCUUCAAAAAGGGUAC